GUCCUUCGUCUAGAGGCCUAGGACACCGCCCUUUCACGGCGGUAACAGGGGUUCGAAUCCCCUAGGGGACGCCA
rnacentral:tRNA from 1 species